rnacentral:lncRNA from 1 species
GCGGAGCGGGGAAAAGAAGAAAUGGCUGUCAUGGUUGAUUCCCUCUUGGGAAACUAGUCUGGCCUCGGUAACCUGUUUGGGAGGAAGGGAUGAGCUCGUGGGUUGUGGCCGUGGCCCUGCUUGGCGGAGAGGAGCCUCGGGUUGAGGGCAAUUUCUCGCUGGUGCUUAGAUGCCACCAUGGAGCUCCUACGCACCAUCAAUAGAAGCUAUCGCGAUGUAAUUCAAGGUAAGGUAUAUGCCCUAUCGUUCAUCAUACUCCCUUGCAUGUUCUGCGCUUGUGUUGGAGCGGGUCGAGGUGUUGGGUAAUGUGGUGGUGCCUUGCCGCGGUUGAGCGCCGCCGUGGCACCACGCGGUGUCGUAGUCAAGAAUUUGAGCUCGAUGUUAGGAUUUGUGCGUUAGGCCAUGUGAUUCGGGGUGGUCAUGGCUUCGUUCACCCUGGGUCUGUUGUGAGAUUAGAACCUAGAGUCGCCUAUCCAUGUGCCCCAGUUGGGUUUGCGGUGGUGCUCUAGCUCACUGUCACAGUGGACGGAGGGAAGAAGAAGACGAGACUCAGAUUGUUGAUACGAUGAUGGGCGGACCAGAUUAGUGGAGCGCAACACUAUGGCCAGGUGCAAUGGUGUCCGUAGAUCAUCUAGCGAGCGAACGAGAUUAAAAAGGAAGAAAACGAUUCAGGUACAUGAAUCGUGGUCUGGAUCUAUGAUCCUACGGGCACAACUACUUACUGGUUCAGUGGAUGGAUCUUAGCCAUUGAUUGAACAAUGUGCGGUCAAGAUCAUAAUAGAGACGACGUUGACCUGAGUGCUCCACCACCGUAUAUCCCAGAUCUUGCGGCCAAUAGCGCAUACCAGUUUGAUGUGGCGUUAGAUCUAAUCUGGGCCCUCGGUUUUGAUCGAACGGCUCUGGAGCGAAGAUUGUAGAUGGAAUCCUGGGGUUUUAUAAAAUCAACCCGCCAUCCCAAGUAUGUUAUGAAGCCUUUAAUUUCGGUCCCUUGUUUUUUAUAAAGUGCACCCUGAACUCUUCAGAAAUAGUGGCCCCAGCCCAGAAGUGAGAUAGAAUGAGUAAAAUUAAUAAAGAAAAGAUUUUUAGUAUAAAAAUAAUUCCUAAAACUUGUUUAAUUCAUAUUUAAUUCAUUUUAACUCCUUUUUGAUCCAUUCCAGUUGCAUUAAAUCCAUAAUAAUAUUGUUUAUCCCCUGGUAACUUUAUUUUUUAUGAAGUCAUAACUCUUCGGAAUGAAGCCCUUGAGAAGGACAAAAUCCUGAUCUCCUUAGUUGAGAGAUUAAAGUCUAGCGAAACUAGACUGGCUAGCCUUUCUGAAGUGAAACAGAAAAUGGAGAAAUUUAUAAAGAAGCAAGAAGCAGAUGAGAAGUGUAUUGCUGAUUUAGAGUAUGCUCUAUCUAUUCAAGUGGGAUUGCGCCGAUCCAAAGUGCAAGGAGUUGACAAGAAGCUUGAUGAGGUCACUGAAAACUUUAAUGUCAAACAAACAAAAUGUGAGAUAUCUAAUUCUGAGCGUUUGAGAGUUCAGAAUAAUGUUGAAGAGCUUCGUCAGGGAAAAGAGGAAUGCUACAAUGUUUCUAUGAAAUGUUGCAAUAAGUUGAAAAAUAGUUUUGCUAAAGUUGGUGCGUUCUCUACAGAGCGGAACUUUAUCCGUGGUGAUCCUGACGGGGUUAUCCGAUGGAUUGGUGGCGAAGCCGAAGCUUUUGAUGAAAUUCUUAGUGAUAGAGGAAAUUUUUGUGCCUUCGUCGACGCCCGAGGAGCCGUCUCACUCCUUGAGAAAGCUGGUGGGAGCAUGCAAAGGCUGCAAUUUAGCCAGAAUUCUCGGUCUCAGCGAGUGACAUCAAGGACCCUUCAACCGAAGCCAUUGCUCUUAGCAGAAAAUUUUAUUUCGAAGUUUGGUUGGAAGGUGGUCGAGAAAUAGCAGACGACGUUAUUAGACAAAAUGAGAAAGAGUCUCAUACUGCUUUGGAAGAAGCAAGGAAAGCUGAAAAAGCUACAGAGCGUGAAAGACUUAUAGAUAUAUUUGUCGUGAUUUAGCUUCAUAACUAAUGAACAUUUAUACUGUGGUGCAGCUGAACUUUCUCCUCCUCUGGAGCCAUACGACCUUGACGCUGAUCCAGCCUCGAAGGGGGCUCUUGAUAUAAUCAGAAUAGCUAAUGAAGCUGUUGACGAAGUUAUGAAUAGGCCUCUAAACGAAGCUGCUUAUAAAGUCUUAAAAGAGGAUGAUUAGACCUUAUUUAUUAAAACAAUUGUAGAAUUUUUUGUAUGAUGUUUUCUUAUGUAAGAAACAAUUGUCAACUAUAUGUAUAACUAAUGAAGUUAUAUAUUUCUUUGUGGAGCUUGAAAUCUUCGUACUUAUCAUUUUUGAGCCGCAAGCGAAAAAACACCUUCCCUUCUUUUCACGCUUCAUAAGAAAAAUCCACUUUUCUGCUGAAGUAGUAUAUUAAACUCGAAGGUCUAGCCGUAGAUCUUGCAUAAGAAUACCAUUGUCGAAGGAAUAGAUCUUGCAUAAAAAUACCGCUGCUGAAGCAUAGAUCUUGCAUUGUUGAUACAUCCUUUCAUAAUUCUUUGUUAAAUAUAGACUUAACCUUAUGGGUUAACCAACAUGUUUGAAGGAGCAAUUUCCUUUUUUUUCCACUGUUUCGGAUGAUGCAAGAUGAUGAAUGAGCGAUGCUAUGCAGUAUGAUACAAUGAUAUGAUGCAACUGAUGUUAAUGCAUAAAUGCUUCAUAAAAUUAAGACUCUACAUACCCUUAGGAACGACUUUGGAGUCUCUUCACCUUUUACUUAGGUGGUAUUUUAGCUCCGCAUCCCCGUAGGAACGACUUUGGAGCUAAGCUCUACAUCCCCUUAGGAGCGACUAUGGAGCUCCUUCACCUUUUUACUUAGGUGGCAUUUUAGCUUUGCAUCCCCGUAGGAAUGACUUUGGAGCUAAGCUCUGCAUCCCCUUAGGAACGACUUUGGAGCUUCUUCACCUUUUACUUUAGGUGGUAUUUUAGCUCUGCAUCCCUGUGGGAACGACUUUGGAGCUUCGUCACUUUUCUUGUUACACUCGAAGGUGUAACUCUAGAUUUUUUACAACAGACUGAAGGUUGUACCUUCUCAAAUUGUCUUAGUAAAUGUGUCUUAGUAAAAGCAAUAGAAAUAAAAAUUACAUUGAGUGUGUACGUAAUUUUUUGAUUGAGCCCCUAUAUUGCUUUAGUAAAUGUGUCUUGAUUUUGGUACAGUGUUGUUGACUAUACGAGCUUUGGACUCUUCACAUGUGUCGCGUUGUUGUUGAACUUGGCGGUGCCCUUCUAGUUGUUGAUUGUGAGACGAAGUUGGAGCCAUGAGUGGUGGCGGUGGUGGCAGUGCCCAUGCAGCUAGGGAGUGGCUUGCCGAAGCAACUAAUACAGCGGGUUGUUGGUUGCCCACAUACUCGGGAAUGUAUGGGGAAUAGCACGAAGCAGUAUGCAGGACCUGCUUCGGCUGAUUCUAUCGUGCUUCUGGGUCAGCUAUUUCCUUUUGCUUCUGAAUCGUGACUUGGUAUGUCCUUAUUGUAUGCCCCUUAUCUUCUCCACGGAAUAGGCAAAACAAACUUCUUGGUUGCGAGUUGAAUCUUUCACCGAAGCUUCUACCUCCUCUGCCUCUUGGAGCUGGUGGCUAGAAGGAGCUUUGUUGUGUCCCUGAUGAUUGGGAGCUAUGUUGAUGCCCUUGAGUAUGAUUUCCCUUUUCAUCGCUUGAGCUGGGAUUAUGGAUCGUCCUGACAUGCCUAGGGUGGAGUCUUCCUCCGAAGCACCUGGUCAUCUUGGAGUAUCUGUAGACUUCUUCCCUUCUCUACCAAAAGUCAUUGUCGGCUCUGAUGUACUCAUCCAUCUUCUAUAGAACCUUCUCCAGAGUUUGUGGGAGCUUCCUGGUGAAAUAUUGCGCUGUUGGUCCUGGUCAAAGGCCCUUGAUCAUAGAUUCAAUAACAAUCUCAUUUGGCACCGUUGGCGCCUGAGCUCUGAGACGCAAAAACCUUCGAACAUACGCCAACAUGUAUUCCUCAUGGUCCUAUGUGCAUUGGAACAGAGCUUGAGCUGUCACUGGCUUCGACUGGAAACCCUGGAAGCUAGUGACCAGCAUGUCCUUCAGCUUCUGCCAUGACAUGAUUGUUCCCGGCUGAAGGGAAGAAUACCACGUUUGAGCCACACUCCUGACUGCCAUGACGAAGUACUUUGCCAUGACGACAGUGUUGCCACCAUAUGAUGAUUUGGUUGCCUCGUAGCUCAUGAGGAACUGCUUUGGGUCGGAAUGCCCGUCAUACAUGGGGAGUUGUGGCGGUUUGUACGAAGGUGGCCACGGGGUAGCCUGCAACUCUGCUGCUGGAGGAGAAGCAUCAUCAAAAGAAAAUUUACCAUGAUUGAAAUCGUCAUACCAUACAUCAUCAAAGCUUGGGAUUUCCUGACGAAGCUCUCUCUGUUGUGGCCUUUGUCCUUGCUCGUUGUCUUGUGUGAUAUGGCACAUUUCUUCGGUAUCUUCAUCAAUCUUCUUCUGGAGUUCAGUUAACCGAAGCAUUUUCUCCCUUCUUUUCUCCACUUGCUGGUGAUGGCCUCUAGAUCUUUGAUCUCUUGAUCUAGCUCCUCUUCCUCUGGUGUUGGGCUAAUGGCCUUCCUUUUCUGGUUUCAGGCUUCUCUCAGAGGAAGUCCUUCUUGGUUGAUGUCCAAUGGUGCAAGGGCAACCCCUGGCGCUAUUGUCUUCUUCGGCAGCAUGACGAAGGUGGUUGCUCAAGCUCCUAGUGUCGAAGGUGGUCGUUUGAGUUCACCGAAGGUGGGCGCCAAUGUUGGUCACUUGUUCUCAAAUGUUGUGAAUCAAGAAUAAGGUCAUGAAGGUCACACCUUGUAACACGCCAAAAUCGUAUCUUGGUGAGUUAAGAAAAUUCUCUAAAGAUUUUAAAUCUCAAGCAUAUUAUAACAAAGUUAUGAAUUGAUACUUUCUUCCCUAAAAUUUAAUAAAUAUUAAAUUUAAAAUGUUGGCUAUAAAAAACUAUAAUAAAUAGGAUAGUGAGUUAUUCUAUAUAAAUUACUCCUAUUGGGUAUAUAUAACUAUGUGAAUUCCAUGCUUAUUAAAUUUCAUGCAUACAAAUACUUAUUUGAGCAAAGUAAAUAAGGAGUAAAUAAAUGUGAAAUAUUUGCAUUCAUGUUGGUGUUUUGGUUGUGCAUAUAAAUAUGGUUUCAAAAUUUAAAAUCAGAUUUGAAUUGGGAUAAUUAAAUCUAGAAAUAAAAAAUAGAAAAAAGAAUAGCAAAUAAAAGGCUUAUCUAUUCAGCCACUUAAGGAACACAACCCACGUGAGUUUUUCCUCCUAUUUUUUUAUUAUUCCACUUGUCGGACCUUGCAUCAUUGUUACCUAUUCUAGAUUCGAGUUUGUUAGAGUACCUAAUAGAUAGGAUAGGAUUGUAAGAGAUAAGUACCAGAUUAGAUCUAUCAUGUAAGAGAUUUGAGUUCGAAUUUGUUAGAGUUCCUAAUAUAUAGGAUAUGGCUGUAACAGAUAAGUACCAGAUUAGAUCUAUCAUGUAACUGCCAACCUCCUAGCCUAUAUAAAUACAUGCCACCAGAACACCUCAAGCCAUCAAUCAAAGACUCAUCUCAUCCAUAGCCUCGCAGCAGCCACCGCUUGCCGGUGGGCCUGCCAUCGCGAGCAGGAUGCCGCAACCCUGUUCCAGCGUGAACAGGUGUGGGGGAGAAAUGGCCCUGGCCGUUGAUCCGGUGAUGAGCGCACGAUUGAAUCUCAAAUACCCCAUCGUGAUCGUAAAUCGUAGCCAUUGAUCUCGGAUCUAUUGGCUGAGAUCAUAUCGCGAGAUCCUUUAAUCUCGAGCGUUGGAUCGGGAUCUGACUGCUGACACUGGAUUCAGGUUCACGACUUUGUGGAUCCAAUCUCGGGUGUUAAAAACAGAUCGAACGACCCCUGGUGAUGGAUACCCCUUCGACCUCGCUAAUUUGCUAAAGAGCCCCUCUAUUUUAUCAGAAUCAACCCGCCGUCCAGGGAAGUGUAAAAGUAAUUCAGUUUAGGCCCUAUAAAUUUACAAAUAGAUCCCUCGAGCUAGUAAAAUUAGUAUUAAGUGAUCCUAAAUCUUAUUUAAUACAUAUCUUCCACGUUUUAACUCUGAAUUGACCCGUUCCAGCUGUGCUAGCCUCGUAAUAAAAUUUUCUACACUUUAGUAACAUUAUUUUAUCAUAUAACAUGUACUAAAAAAUAGCUAACUAAUUUGUUCAACCUAUGUUUAUUGGGUUAACAUGUUAAUAUAGUAUUUCAAUUCGGAGUAUCUAUAAUUUUACUGGAACAGGAUUAUGUUAUAACUUAGCCUAAAGUUGAAUCAGUUAUUUUUUAUAUGUUUCUCACAUGAUUUAUAGCACAUAAUAUAUUAUUAUCAUUUAAUCACCUAAAACUUCAGAAAAUCAUAUCUUUAUAACCAUAACUCUGAUUUUAGUCGUUCUUGAAUCAACGAUCUCGUAGCAUCGUGUAGAAUAUUAUUAUACAGUUUGUGCUUAUGUUUGGUGUGAUGUUAAUUUUGCCUAUACCAUGUUUGUUUGUAUUGCUACGAAUAGCUGUGAGGUCCUGAGAAUCUGAAGAUCAUCCUGGUACCUGGAAUCUCGAGUCCCAGUCAAGUUGUGCCCUUGAUCACUUCUUUUUACCCAAUCAUGUUGUUAUUAAUCAUAAUGAUCUACAUAGGUUAAUUUUGAUGGGACCCAAUAGGUUACCCUAGUUUGAAUAUCUUUAUAGCUUGUUUACCACUAAAUUUUUCGGUAGUACCUGCUAUUGCUAUAUGUGGUUUUGGGUAUGGAGAUACACAUUAUACAUGAUCAUACUUUUAUUAUUAGUUUGUUAUUUACUAUUCAUGAUAAGAUCAUUAUGUUAAUUGGAACAUGGAGUGACCACCCGGGAAAAUAGUGCUACCACAAGGGUGGUAUGGGAUGCUCUUGACUGUCUAAUUAGAAAAGCUAGUGGAGGACUACCUUACCCGAAAGGGGCAAGGGCAGUAGGGGAGUGGUCAGUGUAGGGAGGCCCUCGGGUUGAUUUUGCUGCGAUGGCGGUCAUGCGAGGGGUCCUUGCAUUGGAGCUCCCUAGAAACUGUAGCCGGUUUUCUGAAGCUAGUGGAACUUUGUAAAGGCCUCGUAGUGGUACCCUGCCUCGCUUCCUCGGUAGAGGUGUAUGGGGUCCGAUCAACCUAGUGGCAAAUGGGUAACACGACUUGUGGGUAAAGAUGUGCAACCUCUGCAGAGUGUAAAACUGGUAUAUCAGCCGUGCUCACGGUCAUGAGCAGCUCGGACCCUCACAUGAAUAAUUUAUGGAACUAAAUUCAAUUUGUCAUAUGCAUUGCAUCUACUACUUAGUUGGGUGGUAUUUACUUAUACUUAGUAAUUCCUAAUAAAAUUUUGACCAACUUUAAAAGCAAUGCUCAGCUCUAACCAUCCUCUUUGCUAAGCCUUACACUUCACAUGAGCUCCCACCUUUAGCGAGUUCAUGCACAUUAUUCCCCACAACUUGUUGAGCGAUGAACGUAUGUGAGCUCACUCUUGCUGUCUCACACCCCCACAGGUCAAGAAUAGGUACCGCAAGAUGAGGCGCAUGGAGGAUGUUGUGACGAGUUCGUGAGAGGUCUAGGCCGUCGUCUCCUAGUCAACUUUGGGUUGCUGGAUCGUUGUCACCUUAUGAUGUAAUUAUUUUUUUGUUUUGUACAGAAAUCCUAUUAUAUAGUAAAGAUGUGAAAUUCAUUUAUGUACCAUGAUUCAUCAUAUGUGUGAGACUUGGUCCAGCACACUUGGUGAUUAUUUCGCGCCCGGGUUUUGGACCCCUAAAACCCGGGUGUGACACACCUUCAUCACUUAUGAGAAUAAGAAUUCUAGGAGAUAACAUAUGUUAUCUAUUCAUCCAUUCAUUUAUAUAUUUAUUUCAUAAUAUAUAUUUACAUGAACAUUAACAAAAUUUAUAUUACUUUUUGAUACCUUCGGCAUGAUUGAAGGUGUUGACGCGAGAGCAAUUACAAUACAGCAUGAACAAUACAGGGGUACUGUUCACCUAUUUAUAGGCACGGGGCGUAGCCUGAGUAAAAAUACAUUUAUGACCUUAACAUAUACUCAUAAUCGUAACAUAAAUCCUCAGAGAUUAGCUAGUCUUUUCCUCUUCGGUUCGGCAUCAUGUUUGACCUUCGUUGCCGCCUUAAGCCGAAGUUGUAGCUCUUCGGCUAUAGCUUUGGCUUUCAUUGUUGUUGCUUUCAGACAAUGUCUUCGACUCGAGGACCUUAACAGAGAAGAAGACCCUCAUCACAAAGCUUUUCUUAUGACGAAGCUCCUGUAAUAUCAAUAGUACGCUAGAAACAAAUGAUUAGUCGUGUUUUUG